AUUUUUAUUUAAAAAUAAAACCUGCCCAUUGAUUUUAAUUUAAAGGCCGCAGUAUUUUGACUGUGCUAAGGUAGCAUAAUCAUUAGAUUUUUAAUUAAAAUCUUGAAUGAAUGGUUUAAUGAAAUAAAAUCUUUUUUAUUAAUGAUAUUGAAUUUUAUUUUUUAGUUAAAAAGCUAAAAUAAAUUAAAGGGACGAGAAGACCCUAUAGAAUUUUAUAUUUUAAAUAAUAAUUUAAAUUUAAUAUUAUUUUAAUUUAAUAUUUAAAAUAUUUUAUUGGGGUGAUAAUAAAAUUUAAUUAACUUUUAUAAUUAAAUUCAUUAAUAUAUGUAUUAAUGAUCUUUUUUUAUUGAUUAGAAAUUUAAAUUACCUUAGGGAUAACAGCAUAAUAUUAUUAAGAAGUUCUUAUUUUUAAUAUUGUUUAUGACCUCGAUGUUGGAUUAAAUAAAAUUAUUAUAUGUAGAAAUAUAAUUAAUUAGUCUGUUCGACUUUUGAUUAUUUACAUGAUC
rnacentral:rRNA from 1 species